AUACGUAGGGGACAAGCGUUGUCCGGAAUCACUGGGCGUAAAGGGCGCGUAGGCGGUUUUAUAAGUCAGAUGUGAAAGGUACCGGCUCAACCGGUGACGUGCAUUUGAAACUGUAAGACUUGAGUACUGGAGAGGCAAGUGGAAUUCCUAGUGUAGCGGUGAAAUGCGUAGAUAUUAGGAGGAACACCGGUGGCGAAGGCGGCUUGCUGGACAGAUACUGACGCUGAGGUGCGAAAGCGUGGGGAGCGAACAGGAUUAGAUACCCUGGUAGUCCACGCCGUAAACGAUGAUGACUAGGUGUUGGGGAAACUCAGUGCCGCAGUUAACACAAUAAGUAUUCCACCUGGGGAGUACGUUCGCAAGAAUGAA
rnacentral:rRNA from 1 species